UUCGAAGCACGGUCAACAGAAUCAAGGAGAGGAGAAAAGCGCUUAAUUUUUCAAACUGUGCCAGUUCCCGACCAUCCAGUUCAGUUACCAACUCUCGUCCUGUCAGUUUCCCACUUGGAACAACUCCAAGCCAGGAAGAGGAAGGCUAUGCUUGCAGCACCACGCUAGGCCCGGCAAUGCAGGAAGAGAACAGCCAAGUUGAGGUGUCCAUUCCUUGUGUACCAGAGAUAGUAGAAAAUGGCCAAAUGUCCGAAGGCACUCAUCUGGAUACAGAGGAGCUGCCUGCUUCAGAAGUGAAUGCCUUGCCACCUGGCUGCAGUCUUCAUGUUCCCAUGGACCUCGAGUUUUCAGCUUCCUGUUUCCCUCGCAGCCCUACACCUCAGAAAAGCUACGAUCUUGUCCACAUAGACUGAUCUGUCAUGAUGUUUUUGGUGUUUCUGUACUUCUUAUUUGACAUUUAUCUGCCCCCCCCCCCCC
ensembl:lncRNA